rnacentral:rRNA from 1 species
AGCGAACGCUGGCGGCAGGCCUAACACAUGCAAGUCGAACGGAUCCUUCGGGAUUAGUGGCGGACGGGUGAGUAACACGUGGGAACGUGCCCUUUGGUUCGGAACAACUCAGGGAAACUUGAGCUAAUACCGGAUGUGCCCUUCGGGGGAAAGAUUUAUCGCCAUUGGAGCGGCCCGCGUCUGAUUAGCUAGUUGGUGGGGUAAAGGCUCACCAAGGCGACGAAUAGUAGCGGGUCUGAGGGGAUGAUCAGCCACAUGGGGACUGAGACACGGCACAAACUCCUACGGGAGGCAGCAGUGGGGAAUCUUGCGGAAUGGGCGAAAGCCUGACGCAGCCAUGCCGCGUGAAUGAUGAAGGUCUUAGGAUUGUAAAAUUCUUUCACCGGGGACGAUAAUGACGGUACCCGGAGAAGAAGCCCCGGCUAACUUCGUGCCAGCCGCCGCCGUAA